rnacentral:rRNA from 1 species
UUAUACGCAUGGUAACUAUGUAAAAGGUGGCUAUGCUACCGCUUUUGGAUGGGCCCGCGGCGCAUUAGCUAGUUGGUGGGGUAAAGGCUUACCAAGGCAAUGAUGCGUAGCCGAACUGAGAGGUUGAUCGGCCACAUUGGGACUGAGACACGGCCCAAACUCCUACGGAAGGCAGCAG